AUGGACGCAAGUCUGAUGGAGCAACGCCGCGUGAGUGAAGAAGGGUUUCGGCUCGUAAAGCUCUGUUGGUAGUGAAGAAAGAUAGAGGCAGUAACUGGCCUUUAUUUGACGGUAAUUACUUAGAAAGUCACGGCUAACUACGUGCCAGCAGCCGCGGUAAUACGUAGGUGGCAAGCGUUGUCCGGAUUUAUUGGGCGUAAAGCGAGUGCAGGCGGUUCAAUAAGUCUGAUGUGAAAGCCUUCGGCUCAACCGGAGAAUUGCAUCAGAAACUGUUGAACUUGAGUGCAGAAGAGGAGAGUGGAACUCCAUGUGUAGCGGCGGAAUGCGUAGAUAUAUGGAAGAACACCAGUGGCGAAGGCGGCUCUCUGGUCUGCCACUGACGCUGAGGCUCGAAAGCAUGGGUAGCGACAGGAUUAGAUACCCUGGUAGUCCAUGCCGUAAACGAUGAGUGCUAAGUGUUGGGAGGUUUCCGCCUCUCAGUGCUGCAGCUAACGCAUUAAGCACUCCGCCUGGGGAGUACGACCGCCAGGUUGAAACUCAAAGGAAUUGACGGGGGCCCGCACAAGCGGUGGAGAUGU
rnacentral:rRNA from 1 species